rnacentral:misc_RNA from 1 species
UUUCCGUAGGUGUACCUGCGGAAGGAUCAUUCAUAAUAAAGUGUUUUAUGGCACUUUUUAAAAAUCCAUAUCCACCUUGUGUGCAAUGUUAGAUCUCGUCAAUCUUGGCGAGAUUUUUAUACAUCAACUCAUUCUUUAACUAAUUUGUCUGAAAAAUAUUAUGAAUACUUAAUUCAAAAUACAACUUUCAACAACGGAUCUCUUGGCUCUCGCAUUGAUGAAGAACGCAGC